GACGGAGGAUGCAAGCGUUAUCCGGAAUGAUUGGGCGUAAAGCGUCCGCAGGUGGCAGUUCAAGUCUGCUGUCAAAGACCGGGGCUUAACUUCGGAAAGGCAGUGGAAACUGAACAGCUAGAGUAUGGUAGGGGCAGAGGGAAUUCCUGGUGUAGCGGUGAAAUGCGUAGAGAUUGGGAAGAACACCGGUGGCGAAAGCGCUCUACUGGGCCUGCACUGACACUGAGGGACGAAAGCUAGGGGAGCGAAUGGG
rnacentral:rRNA from 1 species